rnacentral:rRNA from 1 species
GGGUCAGUAGGUUGGUCAUGCCACUGGUAUGUACUGGUCUCACUGAUUCCUCCUUCCUGAUGAGCCGUAAUGCCAUUAAUUUGGUGUCUUGGGGAAUCAGGACUGUUACUUUGAAAAGAUUAGAGUGUUUAAAGCAAGCUAACGCUUGAAUACAUUAGCGUGGAAUAACGAAAUAGGACGUUCGAUCCUAUUUUGUUGGUUUCUAGGAUUGACGUA